rnacentral:rRNA from 1 species
UACGGAGGGUGCAAGCGUUAUCCGGAAUCUACUGGGCGUAAAGGGCGCGUAGGCGGCCUGUUAAGUCCGAUGUUAAAGACUGGGGCUCAACCCCAGCAUUGCGUUGGAUACUGGCAGGCUUGACGGUUGGAGAGGCGAGUGGAAUUACCAGUGUAGCGGUGAAAUGCGUAGAUACUGGUAGGAACACCCAUUGCGAAGGCAGCUCGCUGGACAACACGUGACGCUGAGGCGCGAAAGUGUGGGGAGCAAACCGGGAUUAGAUACCCU